AGAUUGAACGCUGGCGGCAUGCUUUACACAUGCAAGUCGAACGGUAACAGGCCGCAAGGUGCUGACGAGUGGCGAACGGGUGAGUAAUGCAUCGGAACGUGCCCAGUCGUGGGGGAUAACGCAGCGAAAGCUGUGCUAAUACCGCAUACGAUCUAUGGAUGAAAGCGGGGGACCGAAGGCCUCGCGCGAUUGGAGCGGCCGAUGUCAGAUUAGCUAGUUGGUGGGUAAAGCCCACCGAAGGCGACGAUCGUGUAGCUGGUCUGAGAGGACGACCAGCCACACGUGGAACUGAGACACCGGUCCAGACUCCGUACGGGAGCAG
rnacentral:rRNA from 1 species